GGAUGGUGGCACAGCGGUUGUGCUUCGGUCUGGGCUCCUCAUUCCGUGAUGGUUCAAUUCCAUCUCCCAUCCA
rnacentral:tRNA from 1 species